rnacentral:rRNA from 1 species
AGACCCGAAACCCGGUGAUCUAGCCAUGGGCAGGUUGAAGGUUGGGUAACACUAACUGGAGGACCGAACCGACUAAUGUUGAAAAAUUAGCGGAUGACCUGUGGCUGGGGGUGAAAGGCCAAUCAAACCGGGAGAUAGCUGGUUCUCCCCGAAAGCUAUUUAGGUAGCGCCUCGUGAAUUCAUCUCCGGGGGUAGAGCACUGUUUCGGCUAGGGGGCCAUCCCGGCUUACCAACCCGAUGCAAACUGCGAAUACCGGAGAAUGUUAUCACGGGAGACACACGGCGGGUGCUAACGUCCGUCGUGAAGAGGGAAACAACCCAGACCGCCAGCUAAGGUCCCAAAGUCAUGGUUAAGUGGGAAACGAUGUGGGAAGGCCCAGACAGCCAGGAUGUUGGCUUAGAAGCAGCCAUCAUUUAAAGAAAGCGUAAUAGCUCACUGGUCGAGUCGGCCUGCGCGGAAGAUGUAACGGGGCUAAACCAUGCACCGAAGCUGCGGCAGCGAACGUAUCACUUAAAGCGAUUCAGCGGGUUACGAUUGACGGAGCGAAGCGACGUCAAAGCGUAUACAAAGUCGAGUCGGUUUAAGGAUACGUUCGUUGGGUAGGGGAGCGUUCUGUAAGCCUGUGAAGGUGGCCUGUGAGGGUUGCUGGAGGUAUCAGAAGUGCGAAUGCUGACAUAAGUAACGAUAAAGCGGGUGAAAAGCCCGCUCGCC